rnacentral:rRNA from 1 species
UACGUAGGGUGCGAGCGUUGUCCGGAAUUACUGGGCGUAAAGAGCUCGUAGGUGGUUUGUCGCGUUGUCCGUGAAAACUCACAGCUUAACUGUGGGCGUGCGGGCGAUACGGGCAGACUGGAGUACUGCAGGGGAGACUGGAAUUCCUGGUGUAGCGGUGGAAUGCGCAGAUAUCAGGAGGAACACCGGUGGCGAAGGCGGAUCUCUGGGCCUGUCCUGACGCUGAGGCGCGAAAGCUAGGGGAGCGAACAGG